AGUCUAUUGUGAAUCACAAAGUUACCAAAAGCUUUUAGUAACUUAUCCUUUUAUGUCUUCAAUAAUUUAGUUUUCAUUUUUAACCACUUCUUUUGAGCUUUAUUAUUAACUCAAUUUUCAUGGCAACUAAUCUAGAAGCAAGUGUUGUUGCCUUUGCAUAUAUUGUGACUUGUCAAUCUUUUUCAUGAAUAGUAGUCACACAACCAAAUAUUUUGUCUAGGAGCAUCAUGACUACUCCAUCACUUUCAUUGUUGGCACAGUCUCUCCUUCUAAAUGUAUCGUCAUCAAAUUCUCGUAUGCUUCUCACUUUGUCAUCUCUAAUUCUAUGUUAUCAUCAUCUGACUCCACUUGUUUAUAUUCAUUAUUUCUUUAUCGAAUUUUCGUGCUACUCUUUUCUUUAUCUUUUUUAGUAGCAUGAAUAUCCAUCAACAACUUUUCAUUUAUCCUCUAAUUAUUUUUCUUCCACAAAAAUUG
rnacentral:misc_RNA from 1 species